rnacentral:lncRNA from 1 species
CAUUUCCUGCUGCCAUGUUGCUCAUUUCUCUGACUGCCUCUCUUCUUACUCCUUUCCACGAACCAGGGCCUCAGAUUCAGUGGGAAUGAAGUGGAGGCCCAGAAAGAAUCAUGUCCAGGUGAAGCUCUGCCAUUCCCAGCAGUAUUUGAGGACAGGUCAGUGUUCAGCAGCAGGCCCAGCCAGGACCUCCCAGGGGACCCAAGACGGGAUAGGAUGGAGAAGUGGAACCAGGCCCUCUGACCCUAUCCCAGCACUGGAAACUGGCGAGAGCAGGCUAUCCUUCCAGGCCAGGCCUAGGGACAGAUUAACAUCAAGGAUGGGCAGAAACCUCUCUUCCCC